GACGAACGCUGGCGGCGUGCUUAACACAUGCAAGUCGAACGGUGAAAGCGGAGCUUGCUCCGCUGGAUCAGUGGCGAACGGGUGAGUAACACGUGGGCAACCUGCCCCUCACUUCGGGAUAACUCCGGGAAACCGGGGCUAAUACCGGAUAUGACCUCCUUGGGCAUCCUUGGAGGUGGAAAGUUUUUCGGUGAGGGAUGGGCCCGCGGCCUAUCAGCUUGUUGGUGAGGUAGUGGCUCACCAAGGCGACGACGGGUAGCCGGCCUGAGAGGGCGACCGGCAACACUGGGACUGAGACACGGCCCAGACUCCUACGGGAGGCAGCAGUGGGGAAUAUUGCGCAAUGGGCGAAAGCCUGACGCAGCAACGCCGCGUGCGGGAUGACGGCCUUCGGGUUGUAAACCGCUUUCAGCAGGGAAGAAGCCGCAAGGUGACGGUACCUGCAGAAGAAGCACCGGCUAACUACGUGCCAGCCGCCGCUGUAAUAC
rnacentral:rRNA from 1 species